rnacentral:antisense_RNA from 13 species
UGUAACAAAGUUGCCACAGCGAUUCUCCUUCUGAUAACGCACACGAAGACAGUGUAGAUCUUUUAACGUAUUGGAUACAGAGAAGAAACAGAGGGACAAAGAAGAAGACCAGAUUAAGAAAAUCUGGUGCGUCCGAGUGGACUCGAACCACCGACCCCCACCA